AAAGAAACCAACAGGGAUUGCCCUAGUAACGGCGAGUGAAGCGGCAACAGCUCAAAUUUGAAAUCUGGCCCUCGGGUCCGAGUUGUAAUUUGUAGAGGAUGCUUUUGGUGAGGUGCCUUCCGAGUUCCCUGGAACGGGACGCCAUAGAGGGUGAGAGCCCCGUCUGGUUGGAUACCGAGCCUCUGUAAAGCUCCUUCGACGAGUCGAGUAGUUUGGGAAUGCUGCUCUAAAUGGGAGGUAUAUGUCUUCUAAAGCUAAAUACCGGCCAGAGACCGAUAGCGCACAAGUAGAGUGAUCGAAAGAUGAAAAGCACUUUGAAAAGAGAGUUAAAAAGUACGUGAAAUUGUUGAAAGGGAAGCGCUUAUGACCAGACUUGGGCUUGGUUGAUCAUCCUGGGUUCUCCCUGGUGCACUCUUCCAGUUCAGGCCAGCAUCAGUUCGCUGCGGGGGAUAAAAGUUUUGGGAAUGUGGCUCCCUCGGGAGUGUUAUAGCCCAUUGCAUAAUACCCUGCUCCGGACUGAGGUUCGCGCAUCUGCAAGGAUGCUGGCGUAAUGGUCAUCAGCGACCCGUCUUGAAACACGGACCAAGGAGUCGUCUUCGUAUGCGAGUGUUCGGGUGUUAAACCCCUACGCGUAAUGAAAGUGAACGCAGGUGAGAGCUUCGGCGCAUCAUCGACCGAUCCUGAUGUUCUCGGAUGGAUUUGAGUAAGAGCAUACGGGGCCGGACCCGAAAGAAGGUGAACUAUGCCUGUAUAGGGUGAAGCCAGAGGAAACUCUGGUGGAGGCUCGCAGCGGUUCUGACGUGCAAAUCGAUCGUCAAAUAUGGGCAUGGGGGCGAAAGACUAAUCGAACCUUCUAGUAGCUGGUU
rnacentral:rRNA from 3 species